rnacentral:lncRNA from 1 species
UUGGGGAAGAAGUGUUCAGGUUUUAAUCCUUCUGUGUCCAGCUGUUUGGACCAAUCCAGGCUGGGAAAAGAAUAUGAAGGAUUAUUUUGGCUCCUAAGGUUUUCUCUUCUUCAUCCUCCAUAGGUUUCCUGGGACUAAUUUGUGGGGUGGAGCCCUGAGACACCCAUGUUGAAGAGGCUGGAGUCCAUUUUGGAUUGAAGGGACUUGGCUUCUAGAAAAGGUAAAGGAAGAUUUCAUGAAACUUCCAAAAUUGUGGGGUCACCUUACCAAGUCGUGUUGGUUCUGCAGGACCCUCUCAGUUGGUCAGUGGAGCUAACAGUUGGAGAAUUUUGUUGGAAAUCCAUUCAAGAAACAGUACUGUUUCCUGAUUAUGUGGUGACUUUGCUAACUGAAAUAACUUGGAGUCAUGACAGAGGACCCACAAAAGGAGCACAUGGCAAAACUGAACUUUUCCACUCCCACCGAAGCCAUAUGACUUGUUUGGGCUAAUGAACUGUGAAGGGGACAUGAUCACUUCGGCCACACAUUUUCAGGGCCAUAUGUGACUCUCCAUCUCCUUUUUUUGGUACCGGGAAUCGAACUCAGGUCUUUGUGCUUGCAAGGCAUGCGGCGGAACCACUGAGCUAAAUACCUGGC